UCCGGCGGCAUCCAGAAGGUGCCGCCGUCACGGUGGCUGGUGCAAGUGCCCACAUGGCUGGAGCGGUGAUGGCGGCUGGUGAGGAGCAGUGGCGGCAGUCCCGGGGUGCUUGCAGCAAAGAAAAAAAAUGAAGGAUGGGGCGACUCGCGUGCAUGGGGCACCGCUUGCAUGGGAAUCCAAGAUGGUGAAACAAAUGGGUAUGAAGAUGGGUGGGGACAUUAUUGAUAGCAUGGACGGCUGGUGAUAAUGGAGAUAUGAAUCACAAAGUGGUGGGAUGGGUAUGAGGAGUUUAAUGAGAGAAAGCGGGUGUGAUAAGUUCGGUAAGUGCAAGUGAGAAGUGCAUGAAGAUUUUUGAGAGGAUGGGAGGUGGAUGAACGACCUGGUUCACUGAACCUCAGCAGGUUGGUUAGUGAAGGCAUUGUUCCACCAAUCAGACAAAAACAGAGUGAUAAAGAGAGGGAGAAAAGCAUGGAAAUAUAGAGUGAACCUAGCUAUAUUUCAUGGGUAGUCAAUAGAGCUGGGGGCAGGCAUCAUAAACAUGGGACAAGAGCAUGAUUCUUUUAUCCAUAUCAGGUUCGUGACUGAAGUCACGCGUCAAAUGUUCGCAGGGGAAGCCCAGGAAGCCAAAGAAAAAUUAAAUAGAGCAUACAUACACAUAAACAGCUUUAGCAAAACAAAUCAGUAUUUUUUGGUGCCCAAACCGAUCAACAGAAAAUAAAUCAUACCUAUGAACCCAGAGAGUUUCUUUUGUGUGGCAGCCAAGGCCCCCCUGCAGCCUCCCGCCCCUCAGAUAUC
rnacentral:lncRNA from 1 species